UACGUAGGGCGCAAGCGUUGUCCGGAAUUAUUGGGCGUAAAGGGCGCGUAGGCGGCUGUACAAGUCAAAGGUGAAAUCCCUCGGCUCAACUGAGGAACUGCCUUUGAAACUGUACGGCUUGAGGCCGGGAGGGGGUAGCGGAAUUCCCAGUGUAGCGGUGAAAUGCGUAGAUACUGGGAGGAACACCAGUGGCGAAGGCGGCUACCUGGACCGGUUCUGACGCUGAGGCGCGAAAGCGUGGGUAGCAAACAGG
rnacentral:rRNA from 1 species